rnacentral:rRNA from 1 species
UACGUAGGGUGCAAGCGUUUGUCCGGAAUUAUUGGGCGUAAAGAGCUCGUAGGCGGUUUGUCGCGUCUGCUGUGAAAACCCGAGGCUCAACCUCGGGCCUGCAGUGGGUACGGGCAGACUAGAGUGCGGUAGGGGGAGAUUGGAAUUCCUGGUGUAGCGGUGGAAUGCGCAGAUAUCAGGAGGAACACCAAUGGCGAAGGCAGAUCUCUGGGCCGUAACUGACGCUGAGGAGCGAAAGCGUGGGGAGCGAACAGG